GGCUCGCGCACGGUGCGCGCACCCACUGACUUGCGCCCACUGUCUGGCACUCCCUAGUGAGAUGAACCCAGUACCUCAGAUGGAAAUGCAGAAAUCACCCGUCUUCUGCGUCGCUCACGCUGGGAGCUGUAGACCGGAGCUGUUCCUAUUCGGCCAUCUUGACUCCUCUCUGCCGGACUUUUCUUUAAGAAAAUCUUCUGCCACUGUUAUAAAAGACAGCAAGAUCAAUCACUCCUCUUCCACAUCCUCUUACUGUGAAGAUAAUAAGGUUGAAGACCUUGAUGAUGAUCUACUUUCACUUGAACAGCAAAUUGGACCAUCUAGUUGCAGGAAAACAAGUUCAGGGCUCCCACUGAUUCUACAUUAUGAUGCUAUUUCUGGAGCUGUUAGUCAUGACUAGCUCUGCAUUAAAAUUUGACUGAAGCUGCAUGUAUGUAUUAAAUCAGUGAGUACCUUGAACUUUAUGUUAUUUAAGAAGAUUGGGAAAUAUGAUAUUUCAGGGAAUAAUGUUAAUAUAUAAUUGACACACACAUUCCAAAUAAUAUGAAGGAUAUAGUUUUCUAUAGAAAUUUAUACCAGUAACUUUGAAUUUUCAGAGAGAGUGUCUAGUAUGGAUUUUAUGAUGCUUAAGCAUUAUUAAUAGCAAUAUUUUUAUAUUAAAAUGAUAGUAAUUUUCAGUUGAUCAGAAAUUAAAAUCUAGUUAAUUCUAUUAUUGAAUGUGUUUGUAUUUGUCUAUGUGUAAUAGCAUGUGUGUACAGUACAUGCAUGCACAUAUACACACAUUAACACAUACACUAUAUAUAUUUACACACAGAUGUAUGUGGUGUACAUAUAAGAGGGGACUUCAAAAAUUUCAUAGAAAAAUUGAAUUAAAAGAUAAAAAUAGAAAAAAUCUCUCAACAUAAAGAAACAUCUGAUUAAAAAACUUAAUGUUAAGAAAACAUUCAUGAAGAAAAGGAAUUAAAAGAUAAAAAUUCAAAAAACAUUUCUCAACAUAAAGCUCCGUCAAGUUCAAAACACUUUUGUAGCAAUGAAACCAGCCAUUUAGUCUAUCACUAAAGAACUGAGUUUCCUAGAAAUUUAACCAUGUAAAUGCAAUCUUUUUUACAUUAUCAACUGAAGAACAAGGGCUUCCUUUAUGAAUUUUUAAGAUUAGGAAACAGAAAGAAUUCAGAAAUAGCCAAAUCAUGAUUGCAAGGUAGGUACGUAAUGAUAUCCCAUCAAAAUUCUUUCAAAAUGGCCGUUGUUUGAUGAAAGAAAUGAGCAGGAGAAUUGACAUGGUGGAGAAGGACUCUCUAGUGAAUGUUUCUCAGCCAUUUUUCUGCUAAAGUUUUGGUUAACUUUCUUGAAGCACUCUCAUAAUAAGCAUGUUAUGAUUGUUUGGCACUCCAGAAAGACCCAAUGCAUUUAGCAUCCCCAUAAAACUGUUGUUGCCAGGAUCAUUGCUCUUGACCAGUCCACUUAUACUUUGACUGGACCACUUCCACCACUUGGUAGCCAUUGCUUUGAUUGUGCUUUGUCUUUAGGAUUGUACUGGUAAAGCUGUGUUACAUCUCUCAAUAUAAUUCUUUGAAGAAAUACUUCAGGAUCUUGAUCCCACUUGUUUAAAAUUUCAUUGAAAUUCUGCUUUUGUCCUCAGCUGAUCUGGGUGCAAUGGUCUGACACUCAUUGAAUGGAAAGUUUGCUUAACUUUAAAUUUCACUCAGAAUUAUGUAAGCUGAACAAAUUGAAAUGCCUAUGGUGUUGACUAUUGCUUCUGGUGUUAUCAGUUCUUUUCAAUUAGGGCAUGAACAAGAUGAACUUUUCCUCACAAAUUGAUGUGGAUGAUCUGUCGCUGCAGGCUUCAUCUUCAACAUUGUCUUGUCCCUUCUUAGAAUGGAUUAUUCAUUUGUAUACUGCUAAUUUGGGAUAGAGGAGCAUUUUCCCCGUAAAGCAUUUCAUAAAGUAUCAAUGAUUUUACCAUUUCUUCCACCCAACUACACCAUAAUUUGAUAUUUGUUCUUGGUCAAUUUUAGCAGAAUUCAUGUUGCUCUGACAAGGGCUUUUGUCAAACUGAUGUCUUACCCAUCUUAGUGACUCAGACUAGAUCUUGUUUAUACAUGUUUUAACAAGGUGUAUGACUUUAUUUUGGUGCAAAAUCUUUUUGAAAUCCAUGAAUAGUUUUUGUAUAAUAUGCAUUUUUAUGAUAUCUUUGAAAACCCUCGUGUGUGUGUGUUUGUGUCUAUGGCAUGCCCUAUAUAUGUGGAAGGAUAAAUCUGUAAAUGCAUGCACUAAUAUGGACUACAGAUGUGAACUAUAUCUCCAUGUACAUAUGUAUCUCUAUAUACAUGUGCAUUUAUGGAUGAAAUAUUUAUUGCCUACUGUGUGUUAAGUGACUGUGCUCUUAGCUAUGCAAAUGAUUUCAACUGAUGUUUUUUCCCUAUCCCAUCUAUUUACUAUCCUCUAACUUGUUCCAAAAAAUAGGAUACAGGAUAAAUAACUGAAAUUGUUUUUUGAAUGAGAUUGCAGUCGAUAUAUGAUUUAGAGGACCAAGCAGGCAAAGAAUUUGUAUAUUCAAUCAAUGCCUCUUAGUUGGUGAUAGUUGUUUUUUUUUUUUUUAUUUUUUUUUAUUUUUUUUUUUUUUGAGACAGAGUCUCGCUCUGUCGCCCAGGCUGGAGUGCAGUGGCGCGAUCUCGGCUCACUGCAAGCUCCGCCUCCUGGGUUCACGCCAUUCUCCUGCCUCAGCCUCCCGAGUAGCUGGGACUACAGGCGCCCGCCACCACGCCCCGCUAAUUUUUUUUUUUGUAUUUUUAGUAGAGACGGGGUUUCACCGUGUUAGCCAGGAAGGUCUCGAUCUCCUGACCUCGUGAUCCGCCCGCCUCGGCCUCCCAAAGUGCUGGGAUUACAGGCGUGAGCCACCGCGCCCGGCCGGUGAUAGUUGUUUUUUAGAAUUUUUUCCCCUUAUCACAAGACUGAAAUGAAAAUUGAUGCAAUCACAUGAUGGAAUAUUUGUUCAAUCUGACAGAUUAAUGGUCUAGGAAGAAAAAAUUAAUUUUGAUUUCACCAAAGAAAAACAGUUUGUUGAAAAUCAAUCAGUUCUCAUACAUAGCUAAGAAAAUAUUCACUGCUUUUCAAGCCAUCAAAUGCUUUUAAUAAAUAUCUAAAACAAGGUGGUUAAAAUGUCAACUAGCACUUUUAUUAAGUAUUUUUCUGGAUUUAAAAAGAGAAAUGUCAUAGCAUAUCCUAUCUUCUAGAUUUGUAUUCUCUUGGUCAAGAGCAAGCAUGAGCAAGCCUCUGAAGAGCUGCAUCUCUAACUGCAAGCAUCCCCACGUACU
rnacentral:lncRNA from 1 species